rnacentral:rRNA from 1 species
UACGGAGGGUGCAAGCGUUGUCCGGAAUCACUGGGCGUAAAGGGCGCGUAGGCGGCUCAUGAAGGCUGUGGUGAAAGUCCGGGGCUCAACCUCGGAUCGGCCGUGGCGACUCGUGGGCUGGAGCACUGUAGAGGCGAGUGGAAUUCCUGGUGUAGCGGUGAAAUGCGCAGAUAUCAGGAGGAACACCAAUGGCGAAGGCAGCUCGCUGGGACGGUACUGACACUGAGACGCGAAAGCGUGGGGAGCAAACAGG